rnacentral:rRNA from 1 species
AGCAGCCGCGGUAAUUCCAGCUCCAAUAGCGUAUAUUAAAGUUGUUGCAGUUAAAAAGCCCGUAGUUGAAUUUCGGGGUUCUACCGUUGGUCGGGCAAUAGUCUGUACUGGCGUGUGGAAUUUCUACCUUCUGGGGGAACCAUCAUGUUAUUAAUUUAGCGUGGUGGGAAACCCAGGACCUUUACCUUGAAAAAUUAGAGUGUUCAAAGCAGGCUUACGUCUGAAUACAUUAGCAUGGAAUAAUAAAAUAGGACGGUGGUCCUGUUUUGUUGGUUUCUGAAUCACCGUAAUGAUUAAUAGGGAUAGUUGGGGGCAUUAGUAUUCAAUUGUCAGAGGUGAAAUUCUUGGAUUUAUUGAAGACUAACUUCUGCGAAAGCAUUUGCCAAGGAUGUUUUCAUUAAUCAAGAACGAAAGUUAGGGGAUCGAAGACGAUCAGAUACCGUGUAGUCUUAACCAUAAACUAUG